UACGGAGGAUCCGAGCGUUAUCCGGAUUUAUUGGGCUUAAAGGGUGCGUAGGCGGUUUGAUAAGUUAGCGGUGAAAUGUCGGGGCUCAACCCCGAAACUGCCUCUAAUACUGUUGGACUAGAGAAUAGUUGCGGUAGGCGGAAUGUAUGGUGUAGCGGUGAAAUGCUUAGAGAUCAUACAGAACACCGAUUGCGAAGGCAGCUUACCAAACUAUAUCUGACGUUGAAGCACGAAAGCGUGGGUAGCAAACAGG
rnacentral:rRNA from 1 species